GUUUAAUUAGUUUAUAAUAAAAUAACAAAUUGUGGAUUUGUAGAAGAAUUAACAUUAAACA
rnacentral:tRNA from 1 species